CGGGCAGUGGCUCAGUGGUAGAGCUCCCACUUCGUAUGCGGGAAGACCUGGGUUGGAUUCCUAGCUGCUUAC
rnacentral:tRNA from 1 species